AACCAAGCCCAUGCACAAGUAGAAAGUGCUCGUGGAGCCGGCCGGGGGCCCCCGCCGCGCCGCCCUCCCCGCGGCGCCGUAAAUAGACUCUUCACUCUGCUCUGUAUGUUACACGCUGGAUCACUGCAGCCGCCACCUCCUGCUGCUCCUUCAGUCUCCGGCCCUGCGAGAAGCAAGCCUCAGACUUCCAGCCUGGAGCCCACCGCGUCCCCUGACCUCGGGCUGCUGUGAUUCAUCUCGCGGGACCCCCGGCCUCUGACCUUGUACUUCCGGAAGGCCGUCUGGAUGACUCGAGCCGCCUCGUACAGCUCCCGCUGCUCGUGAUCCGACAGCGUUAGCAGGGCGAAGUCGCUCUCCAUCUUGCCGCUGGCAGAAGCGGACAGAAACUCUGCCCAGGAAGGGGCGGGAGGGACGGCCAGGCGACCACGCUCGAAGGGCACUUCGCUGCAGGGACAGGGAGAGGGGGUGUCCUGGGGCCCACCGUGAAGCGUGUCCAGCCACAGAGCCCGGAGGGGGACUUGAGAGCCCCUCAGCCGGUACCAGUCUCUUCCUCGGGGGCUGGGGCCCCGGGCCAGAACGGAGCACUGGCUCCAGGGAAGGACCUCCCCGCUCCCUGCUUGCCCUGACGAAUCUGGACAUGCUCUCCUGAGCUGGUCACCUGGGCGGGGCUGAGCUGGGGAAAUGGUCCACGUUCUCCAGGUAGCUGGCCAGCCAGGACAUGGUCUCGCUGAGCCCCAGGGCCCCUGUCCGCUCCCUCAUUGGUGCUCCAGCCUCGGGCAGCCCCGUGAAGUCCUCUCGUUUAAUCCGCUCUGGUGUGGCUUCAAUGAUCUGCUUGGCCAGUGAGAUCAUGUCCACCUGCACAGAGGAGAGGCUCGGUGAGUCGGGAGCAGUCCGAGCCGCCAGACAUUCCUACCCCGCCAAGGCCGUCACCAUCGUCCACUUGCUGUCUUGUCAUUCCCCUCACCACCAGACAGGCCUCGGGGAUGGCUGUCCCUGCUCCCCAGUCUUUCUCGGCCACUAUUUACAUAUGCCUGCCAGGCUCCCACUUGAGUUUAUGGCCCUGUGUUGAGAUGGCGUGGAAAACGGGACGGGAUGGACCUCCUCCGAACAGGGUUGCAGGAGUGGAACAAAUGAAGGACCUGCCCUUCCAGGCCAACUGCCCGCUGGCCCCCCUGCCUCAUGCCAGCUGACCAACGUGUGCUCCCCACAGGCUCGGCCGUGCCUGCAGCCCCCAGCCCCCUGAGCUCGGUGCCUGCCACCUAUCGGACACCCUGCCAGAUGGCUCUAGCUGUGAAGCCGGCGCAUUGCCAACUUUAAGCAUUUUGUGCUUCUAGUACUAGGUACCCAGUUAGUCCGUUGGCCUCUCCAAGAUGGGUACCUGCCCAGGUCUUAGCAGAGAAGUGCGCUGCUAGGUUCGAAGAUUCAUUCCUCUGUUCACUCCCGUCUCAAGACUUGCUUCACUUUUGUCCCGUGCAAGCCUCGUCCCCACCCCAGAUCUCUGCCAGACCCGCCAGCUUCUCAGCCUCUGCUCCACACAGCACCCGCUUCCCUCCGUCAGGCUGCUUCCCCCAAAACCUCAUCUCUGCACGGACCAGCAGCUCUUCCAGGCAGCGGGCGAGGCGCACGUGGCCCCGGGACUGUGCCACGGACAGGGGCAGCCGGCCCAGUGAGUCGGGAAUGCUCAGCGCCUGUCUGUUCCAGCGGAAGAGGAGCACGGCGGCUUCCAGGUGUCCCAGGGCACAGGCCCACAUCUGAGGGUGGAGAGCGUGGACGUGAGGCCCGGGGCCCUUCCUCCCCAGGCCGGGUCUUCACUUCCCAGCUCCACCGGCUCCUUCCCUGCGUCCCUCGACACUUUCCCACGGCCACGCGCCUGGCCCGCGCUGCCCCACGCACGCUCACCAGAGGGGUGCAAGAGAAGUGGUCCACGUUGAGCGGGUCAGCCUCUUGCUCUAAGUCCAGGCUCCCUGUCCCCACGCUCCUAGAGGGUUUGGGACAGGGACACGAGCCCAGUCGGUAAAAGCGGGCAAAGCAGGCGCAUCAGGAUCAAAGGGACGGGGGAGGAGGGCAGGCUGUCCAGAAGCACCGAGGUCGGUGCAGCAAGACGGUCAGAGACGCAUAAUGUGAGGGGCUGAGAGUCUGUCACAAGUGCAGAUCCUUCCCUCUUGGUGGGGCUCCGGGUCCUCUGGUCCCUCCUCCGUCCCCUGGUACUUCUGCCCCAGUCCCCCUGCCCGCUGCCCUGCUCACCGCCACUGGCUCAGGGUCUCGAUGAGGCGGGCGUAGCCCUGGGCGGCAGCCAGGUGCAGGAGGCUCAUGCCCCGGAAGGGGCUUCCGUGGGCCAGACGUUCAGGACCCCUCCAGGUGGAGCGAGGGAUCAUGCUCUCUACCAACACCACCACACGGGCCUCGAACCCGGGUCCCUGGCCUUCAUCCUGCAGUACAGAUACCCUUGUGCAGGGACCCGAGCGUCUGGUCCCCUGGCUCAGGAUGGCCCUGGCCACCCCACCCCUGUCCUCUCCGCUUCCUGUCCUGCCCUCCCCACACCUCCUGCACCAGCUUUCCUGCCACCCAGAGCUCUCUGGGCCAUCCGUGUCCCUGGUUUGGGGUCCUGGGUGUCCCCCACCCCCAGUUAGCUUCCUCCCCCGCAGACGGCUUCUCCCUCUCGGAGCCCAGAGUCCUCUCCCCGUCUGCUUCCUCGGAGACUUGGGCCCCUGCUCUCCUGGCCCCCUCCCCCCACCCUCUUCAGAUCAGAAAUAGUCUGAAGCCCGUCGUGCCAAGAGGGUGCCCA